CAGUCGAGCGAGACCAGUCCUUCGGGACUGGGGACAGCGGCGAACGGGUGAGUAACACGUGGGUAAUCUGCCCUCGAUUCUGGGAUAGCCCGGGGAAACCCGGAUUAAUACCGGAUAGCCUCUUUAGCUCUCGGGCUUUUGAGAAAAGGUAGCUUCGGCCUCCGAUCGAGGAUGAGCCCGCGGUGGAUUAGCUUGUUGGUGGGGUAAUGGCCUACCAAGGCGACGAUCCGUAGCUGGUCUGAGAGGACGAUCAGCCACACUGGGACUGAGACACGGCCCAGACUCCUACGGGAGGCAGCAGUGGGGAAUCUUGCGCAAUGGGCGAAAGCCUGACGCAGCGACGCCGCGUGGGGGAAGAAGGCCUUAGGGUUGUAAACCUCUUUCAGCAGGGACGAAGCCACUCGGGUUAAUAGCCCAGAGGGUGACGGUACCUGCAGAAGAAGCCCCGGCUAACUACGUGCCAGCAGCCGCGGUAAUACGUAGGGGGCAAGCGUUGUCCGGAUUUAUUGGGCGUAAAGAGCGUGUAGGCGGCCAGAUAGGUCGGUUGUGAAAACUGGAGGCUUAACCUUCAGACGUCGACCGAAACCAUUUGGCUAGAGUCCGGAAGAGGAGAAUGGAAAUUCCUGGUGUAGCGGUGAAAUGCGCAGAUAUCAUGAAGACACCCGUGGCGAAGCGGUUCCCUGGGACGGUACUGACGCUGAGACGCGAAAGCGGUGGGGAGCGACAGAUUAGAUACCCUGUAGUCCACGUCGUAACGAUGAUGCUAGUGUUGGGGGGGUGGUCCAACUCCCCCCC
rnacentral:rRNA from 1 species